CCUACGGGAGGCAGCAGUGGGGAAUAUUGCACAAUGGGGGAAACCCUGAUGCAGCGACGCCGCGUGAGUGAAGAAGUAUUUCGGUAUGUAAAGCUCUAUCAGCAGGGAAGAAAAUGACGGUACCUGACUAAGAAGCCCCGGCUAACUACGUGCCAGCAGCCGCGGUAAUACGUAGGGGGCAAGCGUUAUCCGGAUUUACUGGGUGUAAAGGGAGCGUAGACGGCAGCACAAGUCUGGAGUGAAAUGCCGGGGCUUAACCACGGAACUGCUUUGGAAACUGUGAAGCUAGAGUGCAGGAGAGGUAAGUGGAAUUCCUGGUGUAGGGGUGAAAUGCGUAGAUAUUAGGAGGAACACUAGUGGCGAAGGCGGCUUGCUGGACUGUAACUGACGUUGAGGCACGAAAGCGUGGGGAGCAAACAGGAUUAGAUACCCGGGUAGUC
rnacentral:rRNA from 1 species